UACUACUACAAGUCUCCACCACCACCUUCUCCGGUUUACUACUACAAGUCUCCACCACCACCAACUCCAACUUAUGUCUAUAAAUCACCGCCUCCACCAACCCCAGCGUAUGUCUACAAAUCGCCUCCUCCUCCUACCCCAACAUACGUCUAUAAAUCUCCUCCACCACCAACUCCGACUUACGUCUACAAAUCACCACCACCGCCUACUCCAACGUAUGUGUAUAAGUCUCCGCCUCCACCAACCCCUACGUAUGUCUACAAGUCGCCCCCACCACCAACUCCAACCUAUGUUUACAAAUCACCGCCUCCUCCUACUCCGACCUACGUCUACAAGUCGCCGCCUCCUCCUACCCCAACUUAUGUUUACAAGUCGCCACCACCUCCAACACACACUCCUACACCAUACUACUACCAUUCUCCACCACCACCAGUUAAAUCUCCUCCACCUCCAUAUUAUUACCAUUCGCCACCACCACCCGUAAAAUCUCCACCACCGCCAUAUUAUUAUCAUUCACCACCCCCUCCGGUGAAAUCUCCUCCUCCUCCUUACUACUACCACUCUCCACCCCCUCCGGUGAAGUCUCCUCCUCCACCUUACUACUACCAGUCACCACCCCCUCCCGUAAAGUCACCACCACCACCAUAUUAUUACCAUUCACCACCUCCUCCGGUCAAAUCUCCUCCUCCACCCUACUAUUACCAUUCACCUCCUCCACCGAUGAAAUCUCCACCACCACCAUACUACUACCACUCACCACCUCCUCCAGUCAAAUCUCCUCCUCCACCGUACUAUUACCAUUCACCUCCUCCACCGGUGAAAUCUCCACCACCACCAUACUACUACCAUUCACCACCUCCUCCUGUCAAAUUUCCUCCACCAUACUAUUACCACUCACCACCCCCACCGGUCAAAUCCCCUCCACCACCUUACUAUUACCAUUCACCACCCCCACCGGUCAAAUCUCCUCCUCCACCAUACUACUACCACUCACCACCUCCUCCGGUGAAGUCUCCGCCACCGCCAUACCAUUACAACUCUCCACCACCAGUAAAAUCUCCCCCACCUCCAGUAUACAUCUACGCCUCUCCUCCACCUCCUACCCAUUACUAGGCUCAUCAAAUUCAGCCACAUUCCCCCAUUAUUCAAGUAAAGACCCAACGCUUCAACAUUUUCAAUAUGCUCCAUAUCCAUAUCGAUAGAACUUUGUCUCAUUAUCUCAAUUUCUUCUUCG
rnacentral:lncRNA from 1 species